rnacentral:rRNA from 1 species
GAUGAACGCUGGCGGCGUGCCUAAUACAUGCAAGUCGAGCGAACGGACGAGAAGCUUGCUUCUCUGAUGUUAGCGGCGGACGGGUGAGUAACACGUGGAUAACCUACCUAUAAGACUGGGAUAACUUCGGGAAACCGGAGCUAAUACCGGAUAAUAUUUUGAACCGCAUGGUUCAAAAGUGAAAGACGGUCUUGCUGUCACUCAUAGAUGGAUCCGCGCUGCAUUAGCUAGUUGGUAAGGUAACGGCUUACCAAGGCAACGAUGCAUAGCCGACCUGAGAGGGUGAUCGGCCACACUGGAACUGAGACACGGUCCAGACUCCUACGGGAGGCAGCAGUAGGGAAUCUUCCGCAAUGGGCGAAAGCCUCACGGAGCAACGCCGCGUGAGUGAUGAAGGUCUUCGGAUCGUAAAACUCUGUUAUUAGGGAAGAACAUAUGUGUAAGUAACUGUGCACAUCUUGACGGUACCUAAUCAGAAAGCCACGGCUAACUACGUG